GACGAACGCGGGCGGCGUGCUUAACACAUGAAAAUCGAACGAAAUGGCGAACGGGUGAGUAAUACGUGAGUAACCUGCACUCCUUUUUGGGAUAAGCCUUGGCACCGGGGUCUAAUACCGACUAAAGGGGGCUGGGCUCGCGGCAUAUCAGCUGGUGGGUGGGGUGAUGGCCUACCAAGGCGGUGACGGGUAGCCGGCCUGAGAGGGUGACCGGACACAUUGGGACUGAGAUACGGCCCAGACGCCUACGUGAGGCAGCAGUGGGGGAUAUUGCACAAUGGGCGAAAGCCUGAUGCAGCCAGGCCGCGUGUGUGAAGAAGGUCUUCGGAUUGUAAAGCACUUUAAGUUGGGAGGCGUUACCAACAGAAUAAGCACCGGCUAACUUCGUGCCAGCAGCCGCGGUAAUAC
rnacentral:rRNA from 1 species